rnacentral:rRNA from 1 species
GGCCUUAUAGCUAGCCCGCCCAAGCAACUUCAACAAACCCCUGUUAAUAACCCCUAAGUACCCCAGUAUUUACAUUAAACAAACCAUUUUUCCCCCUUAGUAUAGGUGAUAGAAAAGGGACAACGGCGCAAUAGAGAAAGUACCGCAAGGGAAUGCUGAAAGAGAAGUGAAAGAACCCAGUGAAGCCUAGAAAAGCAGAGAUAAGCACUCGUACCUUUUGCAUCAUGAUUUAGCAAGUGUAAUCCAAGCAAAGCGUGCUUUAGUUUGACAUCCCGAAACUAUGUGAGCUACUCCAAGACAGCCUAUUAAUAGGGCACACCCGUCUCUGUGGCAAAAGAGUGGGGAGAGCUUUGAGUAGAGGUGACAGACCUACCGAACCUAGUUAUAGCUGGUUGCUCAAGAAAUGAAUAGAAGUUCAGCCUCCUGGCUUCUCUUUUCACCUUAGUUUGACCCCUAUUGAUAUGCUUAAGAAACCAGGAGAGUUAGUCAAAGGGGGUACAGCCCCUUUGAACCAAGACACAACUUUACCAGGAGGGUAAAGAUCAUAAUAAUCAAAGGUAAAUAUUUGGGUGGGCCUAAAAGCAGCCAUCCCGUUAGAAAGCGUUAAAGCUCAGAUAUACCCCUGACCCUUCUUAUUCUGAUCACACAAUCUUAUCCCCCUAGACAUACUGAGCCAUCCCAUGCCCGCAUGGGAGUGACCAUGCUGAUAUGAGUAAUAAGAGAGCCUCCGGCUCUCUCCCUGCACACGUGUAAGUCGGAACGGACAUCCCGCCGACCAUUAACGGCCCCAGUCAAAGAGGGCACUGAAUACUAGAUCAAACAACAAGAAGAACAUUCAGAAAUCAACCGUUAACCCCACACAGGUGUGCCUACGGGGAAAGACUAAAAGAAGGAGAAGGAACUCGGCAAACAUAUGAAGCCUCGCCUGUUUACCAAAAACAUCGCCUCUUGCAAACUUAAUAAAUAAGAGGUCCCGCCUGCCCUGUGACUAUUAGUUUAACGGCCGCGGUAUUUUGACCGUGCGAAGGUAGCGCAAUCACUUGUCUUUUAAAUGAAGACCUGUAUGAAUGGCAUAACGAGGGCUUAACUGUCUCCUCCCUCCAGUCAGUGAAAUUGAUCUUCCCGUGCAGAAGCGGGAAUACAAACAUAAGACGAGAAGACCCUAUGGAGCUUUAGACACCAAGGCAGAUCAUGUUAAUAGUCCUGCAUAAGGGAAUAAACCAAAUGGAAUCUGCCCUAAUGUCUUUGGUUGGGGCGACCGCGGGGAAUUAGAAAACCCCCACGUGGAAUGGGAGCACCCCUCCUACAACUAAGGGCGACAGCUCUAGUAAACAGAAAUUCUGACCAGUAAGAUCCGGCAGCGCCGAUCAACGGACCGAGUUACCCUAGGGAUAACAGCGCAAUCCUCUUUUAGAGCCCAUAUCGACAAGGGGGUUUACGACCUCGAUGUUGGAUCAGGACAUCCUAAUGGUGCAGCCGCUAUUAAGGGUUCGUUUGUUCAACGAUUAAAGUCCUACGUGAUCUGAGUUCAGACCGGAGUAAUCCAGGUCAGUUUCUAUCUAUGCAAUGCUUUUUUCUAGUACGAAAGGACCGAGAAGAGGAGGCCCAUGCUCCAGGCACGCCUCCCCCUUACCUAGUGAAGACAACUAAAAUAGGCAAAAGGGCAUGCCCUCCUGCCUAAGAAAAAGGCAU